AUGGGAGCUGGAGCCAUGAGCCCUGCUGUUUCUAUCUUCCCAGAGAUUACCAGUCUGGCUGGCAGGCAUCUCUAUCAAGAGAAAUUUGCAGAACAUAAGAGCCAGUUCCCUGUAUGGCUCCCAGAGGACACCCUUGCUGUUUGGGAUGGAGAAAGGGAAAGAAGUAACCAACAUUAUCCCUCCCUCCCAAUUAAGCACAGACAUUGGCCUGGAAAUCCUUAAUUCCACUCUCUGACGGAGAAGACGGCAUAAUUAAGAACAGGAAUCAAAGGAAAGAAACCAGAAACCUCCAAUACUUUCUUCCCAGGAUAAUACUUCAAUCUUAACUAUUGUCUCAGGGCCAAAGCUGACCAUUGUGAUGAAUUUAAACGUUUGCCCACAAAUUCUUUGACACGUUUCCCCUCAAGAGGUGGAGCUUUUUUUCCCUUUAAGUGUGGACUGAAUUUAGAGACUCAUUUCUAGCUUCUAGAGUAUGGCAAAGCUGAUGGAAUAUCACUUCCAAGAUUAGGUUAUAAAAAGACUGACUUCCAUCUCUCUCUUCUCUCUUUCAUUUUCUUUCUUGGUUCACUCACUCUGGCGAAAGACAUGUCACGUGCAGCACUAUGGAGAGGCCCAUGUGCCAAGGACCUGAAGUCUCCUGCCAACAGUCACGGGAAUGACUUUGGGAACAGAGCCUGCAGUCCCCGUCUUCAUGGACCGCAGCCCUGACAGUUGACUGCAGCCUCCAAAGAAACUCUGGGGCAGAGCCACCCAGCUAGUCACUCCCACACUCCUGAUCCUAGGAAACUGUAUGAGAUAAUAAGUAUUUGCUGUUUUAAUCUGCUACUUUUUUGGGUUAAUUUGUUAUGCAACAAUAGAUAAUGUACUUACAAUGCCUUCAAAUGAUAUGCAUCCCUCAGGGGUGAACAGAGAGGGCUGAGCUCCCUGAGGAUUGGAAUCCAGCUUUAGGACUCCUGUACAUGAAGCUGGAGCCUUCAAACAUAGGGAACUGUUUCUCUUUAACCUGGAAGAAAUGAGUUCUAAUUCACUUUAUGAUGAAAUAUUCCUAUUGCUACUCAUACUGAAAUGUGGCCUCAUAGUUUUUUUCACUCCAAAAGAAAUGCUGUAUUGGGCUGGCCCCGUGGCCGAGUGGUUAAGUUUGCGUGCUCCGCUUCAGCGGCCCGGGGUUUUGCUGGUUCAGAUCCUGGGCGCGGACAUGGCACUGCUCAUCAGGCCAUGCUGAGGUGGCGUCCCACAUGCCACAGCUAGAAGGACCCACAACUUAAAAUAUACAACUGUGUACUUGGGUGCUUUGGGGAGAAAAAAAGAAAACUAAAAUCUUUAAAAAAAAAAAAAAAAGAAAUGCUGUAUUAAGAUAUGGCUUGUUCAUUUCUUUCAGACUUGUCCAAUGCACCUGACUUUCGGAAUUAAACUGUGAACCUUGAUGACAAAUAAGUAAUCACAAAUCGGAAAAAUAUUCUUAUCCUCCAAGAAAGCAAAUUCAACUCUGAACUGCUUCAUUUCACUAUUGGACAUGAUGGUUCACAGCACAGAAUUCCAAAUCGGGAGAAAUUUCAGGGACGUCUAUAGCUUAUCUCAGGCUGAUUCUGUAAGAAUCGUGUCAAUUUCCAAGGCAAUGAAUCACUUAAUGCCAGAUAGUCUAAGUACACUCCCAACUGUCCCCUCCCAAGGGGAAGGGAGGAACCUGGAAGACUCAGCUGCUUCCAGAAAAUAGCAAUUGGGAUGAUCACGCCCAGAGGCCCAGCAUUUGGGAUCAGAGAGAGGAGGAUAUUUCUGGACCAGAUAAUUUGGGAUUAACUGCAGGAAUGGGGCAGCUCAUACACAAACCAUUCACAUCUGAGAUUAAUGCUUGUGAAUAAACUGCACCCCACCUCACCCCCA
rnacentral:lncRNA from 1 species